rnacentral:rRNA from 1 species
GGUUUAAUUCGAAGCAACGCGAAGAACCUUACCAGGUCUUGACAUCCCUGACAACCCGAGAGAUCGGGCGUUCCCCUUCGGGGGACAGGGUGACAGGUGGUGCAUGGUUGUCGUCAGCUCGUGUCGUGAGAUGUUGGGUUAAGUCCCGCAACGAGCGCAACCCUCGACCUUAGUUGCCAGCAUUCAGUUGGGCACUCUAAGGUGACUGCCGGCUAAAAGUCGGAGGAAGUGGGGAUGACGUCAAAUCAUCAUGCCCCUUAUGACCUGGGCUACACACGUGCUACAAUGGGCGGUACAAAGGGUCGCGAACCCGCGAGGGGGAGCCAAUCCCAAAAAGCCGCUCUCAGUUCGGAUUGCAGGCUGCAACUCGCCUGCAUGAAGCCGGAAUCGCUAGUAAUCGCGGAUCAGCAUGCCGCGGUGAAUACGUUCCCGGGCCUU